rnacentral:rRNA from 1 species
UACAGAGGGUGCAAGCGUUAAUCGGAAUUACUGGGCGUAAAGAGCACGUAGGUGGUUAUAUAAGUCAGAUGUGAAAUCCCCGGGCUUAACCUGGGAACUGCAUUUGAAACUGUAUGACUAGAGUAGGGUAGAGGAAAGGGGAAUUUCAGGUGUAGCGGUGAAAUGCGUAGAUAUCUGAAGGAACACCGGUGGCGAAGGCGCCUUUCUGGAUUCAUACUGACACUGAGGUGCGAAAGCGUGGGGAGCAAAC